UUUGUCAAGGUAUAAAGAAUUCUAUCACACUUAAGACAAGUUAAGUAAACUUCACGGGGUGUAAUCUGACAUGGCAGGGAGCAGAUCACAUGGCCUAGAUCUUAAAGGAGAAUCUUGGUACCAGGACCACACAAUGAAGAACUUGGAGUCCCCGUGGCUAAUCCAGCAGAGAGAAAAGGAGAAACAGAGAUGGGAGAGAAAACAAAGGGAACUCCUGGUGCAGUUUGGUGCUGCUGUAGGCCCAAGUCCAGACUCGCAGGCUUUCUGGAACUCUGAGGAAGAUAAGCACUUCACAGAACCUCUGCUACAGAACCAAACAUAUUGAAAUGACUCUUUACGAAGAUAUUGAAACAACAGAAGAAGAAUACAUGAGGAUUGUUUCUCCUGAGAGUUCAGUUACCUAGGGGGCCUUUAACAAACUUUGAUUGAUAAAUCUAACCUUUCCUUCCUUGGCAAUAGUUGAUCACACUGUGACGAAAACAAGUUAGAGAAUGGAAAAAUAAUAUUUGGAUUUCAAUGAAAUAAUAAAAGUGCAGGGACUAUCUUUGACUUUUGCAAGGUGAGAAGAGAGUUUACAUUUUGAUUAUUUGAUGGCAGGAAUCCCUUUUAAAACAGAGCCAGUCUGCAUGAUGCAUUUAAAAAUCAACCUUUUCAAAUAUAGCCAUAACCCCCACAAGAUUUCUUGAUUUCUCUGGGGUCAGAUAAACCAUCACAUUUCACAGUGGUGCCCUGUAUAUGAAAGUGAUAAACAUAAUCUGGAAGCACAGCAGUGACUAAAAAUACGGAGCUGUCAGCCAUUCACUGAAAUGAUUUUUUGCCUUUAAUUCAUUGCAUAAAAUGCUAAUGUCCCAAUUCAGGCAGGUAGAUCUUACCAACCAUCAGGAGCUUCAACCCUG